UGUGGGAGCGAGCCUGCUCGCGAUGACGGAGUGUCAGACAACAUUGUUGUCGACUGAUACACCGCUAUCGCGAGCAGGCUCGCUCCCACA
rnacentral:misc_RNA from 1 species